AUAAAAUAUAUAAAAGUAUUAAUUUUAAUAAUUAUUAUUACUAUUAAUUUUAUAAUAUUUAUUCAAUAAUAUAUCGGUUAAACAUUGGUUCGAUCUCCGUUAAACCUUAAACCCUUUAACUUUCCCGGUUUAAUGACCAAGCAGGAUUUAAAAACCUUGAUAUUAAGAACUAAAAGUGCUAAUUUUGAAAAAGUGGGGACCAAAGUGUAAACUAAGGUAAACCUCGGGGG
rnacentral:misc_RNA from 1 species